rnacentral:miRNA from 2 species
UGGAGGCAGCGGUUCAUCGAUC